AUAUAAUUCAUCCUUAUAUAAUUCUUCCUGUUGAGUAACUGAUAAUGCACUGGAAAAGAAGGAAAAUAUGGAUUACAUUAUUACGUGUGUGCUUACCU